UCGCCUGCAGAGCCACCUGGUUGAUUCUCAGCUGAAGUUGUCGAUUGUGGUUGUGAUUGCUCUCGAGCCAGUUCUGUGUUUUGGCCUCGCUUUCGGCGGAAUUUCGGCCGAUCGGCCGGUCUUGACCCUCACCGAUGAUGCCCACGAGGGCCAGCGCCGUGAUGCACCUGUUCGACAGUUAAUCUCAGGUUCGACCCGAUAAAUCAAGACUGCCUUCUGUGAUCCAACAUGACCGCCAAGGCAGUCCUGAUGUGCCGGCCAAAUUCGCACCCCUUCCAGGAGCGCACCCUGUACCUGGACCAGCCGGUCAAGAUCGGCAGGUCGGUGGCCAGGGCCCGACCUGCUGCUAACAAUGCCAUCUUUGACUGCAAAGUCCUCUCGCGCAACCACGCAUUGCUGUGGUAUGAGAACGGAAAGUUUUUCCUUCAAGACACAAAGAGCAGCAAUGGCACCUUCGUCAAUAACCAACGGCUUAGCAAGGGCGCUGAGGAGUCUCCGCCGCGGGAGGUUUGCUCGUCGGACAUAGUCCAGUUUGGAGUGGAUGUGAUGGAGAAUACGAGGAAAGUGACCCACGGCUGCAUCAUCGCCACUCUCAAGCUGUACUUGGCUGACGGGAAAGAGGCCAAGGCGAGUCCAUCGACCACGGUGGUCAGCUCGGUCGGCACCGUACCCCUCGAAGACAUGUACCAGCUGAAGCACUUCAUCCAAGAGUGUCUGCACCGUGAACAACUGCUUGAGAACAAAUUAGCGACCAUGCAGAGUCUCGUUAGCAAUAUGGUUGUGGCUGUGGACAAGGCGUGGAAGGCGCUGAUCGAGGAGGAUAGACUUCUGUCCAAAAUUGAGCUCCUUGAGAAUCAACUUCUUACAUGUUCUAAGAAUUUCCCUGAAGAGAAGGUCCGCGAGGAAGUGCGCAGGUUGUUAGACGAAAAGGACAGUUACCAAGCAGCAGCCAAGGAGGCCUUGAAAAAAGUUGUUCAGGAAAAGGUGGAAGCCGUUUUGAAACUGAAAGACAUUGAAAGGGCCUUGAGCAAUUCGGAAGAUGAGUGUGCGCUGCUGCGGAAUUCGUGCGAUCAAAACCAGAAAGACUGCCAGGACCUUGCUCAGAAGUACAAACUAGUUCAGCAGACGGUGGAGGAGCUGACGCAGAAGCUAAAGGAGAGCGAGGAGCAGCAGGCCGAGGCCAUCGAGCACCUGGAGCAGGAAAAGGCUGAUCUGCAAGCCUGUCUGCAAGUGAAUAUGGACAAUCAACACAGGAGGUCGUGCAUCGACCUCUGCAACAACGACGAGCUCUCCCUCAACGACUCAAAUUCUAAAGCUAAAAUUGAUCUCGAUCACACCGUCGACUUGCCAGCUUUGAUUUUAGAUGGCGAACUGAUUCUCAAGAAGAUUGAGGAUUUGCCGGAAAUCACAACUAAAGAAGUCACUCAGUUCAAUGACGAGGUGGAGAAACUGAAGCAGCGCCUGGAAACAAUGGAGGAAGAUCUGCACAAAAGUCACCAAGUUGUUGAGGACCUCAUAGAGCAACUAAAGAACGCCCAAAUGGAAAUUGAAUUGCGGGAUGGGGUGGUCAGAGAUUUGGUUGAGAGAAUUCGUCUUGUCAAAGAGGAUCUGGAUGAAAAGACGAGCAAUGAUGUCAAAUCUAAUAAGGUACCUGAUGAUGAUGAAGUGCCACAGUCUGAAACUGUAAAUAAACUCAAUCAGCAGCUGGAGGAGAUGCAAGAGUGCCUAGCAAGCUCUUUGUUUCAUGUUGAGUUCUAUAAAAGCAUGGUGGUGGUAAUGACAGAGCUGCUGGAAGAGGCGCGUGAUAUGAAACAGUCUUCAGACGCUAAAGUCACGCAGCUGAAAAACGAGCUUGACACUGCCCAAUUUGAAUGUAAAAAACUUAACGAUGAAUCUGAAGUACUCCGUGGACAUAUCCAGUUCCUGGAACAGGGUGGAAACUCGUGUGGAAGGCGACUGGAGGAGCAGAUGCUGAACUUGGUCUCUUCCUCUCAGACCCUGCAAGCGCAGUACCUGCAACUUCAGACGGUUUUGCAGGAAGCCAACAACAGGGCUCGCCAGCGAAGCGAAGAGGUCGAAAGACUGAGAAGACAACUCUUAGAAUCUCAGCAAAAUGAGAAGCAGAGUCGUAACGAGGCUGAAAAGAUGAAGGACACUGUCAAGAGCUUGGAGGAAGAAGUGGCCUCGUGCAAGCAGAUUUCAGGCAAGGUCCUCCAAGAGGACAACAAAAAGAACGAGGAACUACAGCACUCACAGCAAGAGUGCAAGUCCUUGCAAAACUGGAUAUCCAUAAUGGAGGAGGAGUUGAAAACGCUUAAAAUGAAACACUUGCAACUCGAGGAGGAAAACAAAACGCUGAAGGCUUCCAACUCUUCCAAGGGGAGCAAGAAAUCCAGUCCAGAACCAAGUGGAGAGAAUGUCACGUCAGAAGACGAGUCCAGCCUGGACAUGUCGGAAAUCACAAAGCAGCAGGAUUUCGUGAAAGUGAUGCAGCUGUACAUGUCAUGCAAGCAGCGCAAGGCUGAAUUAGCCAAAGACCUGGACCGCCUCAAGGAGGAGAACAAAAGGCUGGAGAAUCGAUCAACCACUGUGCCUUCACUUGCUAUUUAUAUUUGUGCUGCAGUUUUGUUUGUCGCAUGGCUGUUGCAUAACGCACUCUCAUCGUAAUUUUCUUGAAAUAUUUCUGAGUGUCACUUCUCUAUGUAGUCUACUUUUAACUGCUGGAUUUUUAUUUCUACAGGGAUUCUUGUUUGGUGUUAUUCCAUUGAUGCUCUUGGUCUGGGCCUUAAUUUUAAGAAUACAGAGUUCUCUCGCCUUUUUUACUGCAACCUUUGAUUAAGAAUACAACGGACGGGAUAUUUUGUCUAACUACAGUAGAAGAGGAGAAGAAACACAUCCAGGAAAAAACGCAUAAAUAUUUAUAUUCCUGCUAUGUAUUCGGAUUAACUAUCGAUGUUGUGCCAUUUCUAUCUUCGACGGGAGCCACCGCUGAAAUGUACGGUAACCAACCACUUUUGGUGCUUGCAAUCUUAACCAGAUCCUCUCGCCGCUGAAUCUCAUCGUCCUGCUCUUUAUUUGCAAUUAUUGGAGGGCAUUUAACUGCAUUUUGCGCAUUUGAAACGUGUGCAGUGCAUCGUAAUUGUUGUUACUCCAAUUCAUGUGUGCACAUUUGAUGCCAAAAUUUGAUUUUAAUCAGUUCUGUUUGACAAUAGUUAGCUCAACAUUGACACUUGUAAAUAUCUGCUGGAGUGGCAAGCACAAAGAUUUGUCUGUGGGUUGUUCUGUUGGUGUAUUACUACUAAUUUACCAAUGCCUAAAUUUAACUAUCCUUUUCUGAAAGUGGUUGUGGCUUGAGGUGGCUUCCCUGCUAUCGAAUAAUAGUAUAUCGUGUUGUAAAGAAGCUGCAAACAAUGUACAUUGCUCGGGCAAGCUCAAAAUUUGAAACGCACCCUCUGAAAAGUAACACACAGCCGCAGACACAUGCGAGGUAUUUAUUGUUAUUUAAACUGAUUUUAUACAUACUUGUAAGUAGAUAAUUAUAAAUUAUUUUUCUCUGCCACUGACAGGUAAUAAUCAAGAUGCAAUGUUUUGGUCCAGUUGAUCUGUGAACUUAACUGUCAAUUAACUAAUUUUACUUUUAAAUCAAGCCAAUAACAAAUUAUUAGUUUUCAGUUAAGCUUGGAAAGCUAGUCAUGGUUGUUUAAGUUAAAAGAUUUGUCACAAGAUCAAUGAAUAUUUCAAUGGACGCAAUUCUUAUCAAUUUGUUCAAAUAAAGAUAUACAUAAAUACUGUUAAUUUUGUCAAGUGUUCUGUUCGACUAGGCACAGUUGGAAUAAAAGAGAAGUGGAUCGCGCAA